AGGACGAACGCUGGCGGCGUGCCUAACACAUGCAAGUCGAGCGGGGACAUGCGACGGAUAGGAAGAUUCGGUUGGACUUGAAGAUGCAUUGUUCUAGCGGCGGACGGGUGAGUAACGCGUGAGCAACCUGUCCCUUACAGGGGGAUAACACAGCGAAAGUUGUACUAAUACCGCAUAAGACCACGGGAGGACAUCCUUCAGGGGUCAAAGGAGGAAUCCGGUAAGGGGUGGGCUCGCGUCCGAUUAGAUAGUUGGUGAGGUAACGGCCCACCAAGUCGACGAUCGGUAGCCGACCUGAGAGGGUGAUCGGCCACAUUGGGACUGAGACACGGCCCAAACUCCUACGGGAGGCAGCAGUGGGGAAUAUUGGGCAAAUGGGGGAAACCCUGACCCAGCAACGCCGCGUGAGGGAAGAAGGUUUUCGGAUCGUAAACCUCUGUCCUUGGUGAAGAGGAAGAGACGGUAGCCAAGGAGGAAGCCCCGGCUAACUACGUGCCAGCCGCGGC
rnacentral:rRNA from 1 species